rnacentral:pre_miRNA from 1 species
UUCAAGAGCAGUUAUAAAUUUUCGUGUUUGAUCAUUUAUCUUAUUUAAAUUUUUUUAUGAUUAGGAUUUUUAUUAUUAUUAGAUAAUAAAAACUUUAUGCGUUACUUAUGUUUUUAAAUUUUCUCAAAAUAAUUUUAAAUAAGACGGAUGAUUAAAAUUAGAUAUGGAAAGUUAUGUUGUGCUUAAA